GACCGCCGGUGACAAACCGGAGGAAGGUGGGGAUGACGUCAAGUCCUCAUGGCCCUUAUGGGUAGGGCUUCACACGUCAUACAAUGGUCGGAACAGAGGGUUGCGAAGCCGCGAGGUGGAGCCAAUCCCAGAAAACCGAUCGUAGUCCGGAUUGCAGUCUGCAACUCGACUGCAUGAAGCUGGAAUCGCUAGUAAUCGC
rnacentral:rRNA from 1 species